GAAUAACUUAGUGGCGGACGGGUGAGUAACGCGUGAGGACCUGUCCUGUUCUGGGGGACAACAGUUGGAAACGGCUGCUAAUACCGCAUACGCGUGGAGCGAUCUGCGUGAAAGGAAUUAUUCCGGGACAGGAGGGACUCGCGUCCUAUCAGCUAGUAGGUGAGGUAAGAGCUUACCUAGGCGAAGACGGGUAGCCGGCCUGAGAGGGCGCACGGCCACACUGGGACUGAGAUACGGCCCAG
rnacentral:rRNA from 1 species